AUGAGGGUAGUGGUGAGGCCGGGCGGCAACGUGGCGGGCGGCGGCGAAGCUCCGGUAGAACGGCGCUCGCCGGGCAGCCGGCUCACAGCACGCCGGAUCAAGCUGGCUGCUGCGGCUGUUGAAGUGCAGUGCGUGUGUGCAGAUGGGGAUGAGAAGAGAGAUGGGGCGAGAGAAGUUAAUGGAUGGAGAUGCAUCUCGGUGGAAAGGAUAAAGCAAGCUCUAAAGCGGUGGUGUACACGUGCCUAUACGUGCCGGCCGCUCGACCCUCAGCGUAUGCCAAACAUUGAAAAUGUAAUAUAA
rnacentral:rRNA from 1 species